GGCCAUAGCUAUUUCCAAGCCAUUUCUAAACUGUGUCUGAAGCACAUCUUGCUGUCCUGCAGUUACUCAAGUGAGAAAUGAUAUGCACUGUAGUAAAAUCCUGUUUUCUUUCAGGCUAAAUGGGUCAUGUUUCUCUGGAUUAGACUUAGAAGAAGCGAAAAGAAGCAAAAGAGUAAUACUCUCCUUAUGUGAUAUUUGGCUUUGUUCUCAAUGUGUAUUCAAGAAUGGAUUCAUCCCUACAUGUAACAGCUACUUGGAGCAUUCAGCACCACCUCUAAUAAGAGAACUAGAGGCGAACCAAGAACAACCUUCACGGGAG
rnacentral:lncRNA from 1 species